UACAGAGGUCUCAAGCGUUUGUUCGGAUUCAUUGGGCGUAAAGGGUGCGUAGGUGGCGCCGUAAGUCGGGUGUGAAAUUCGUGGCUUAACUCCGAAACUGCAUUCGAUACUGCGGUGCUUGAGGACUGGAGAGGAGACUGGAAUUCAUGGUGUAGCAGUGAAAUGCGUAGAGAUCAUGAGGAAGACCAGUGGCGAAGGCGGGUCUCUGGACAGUUCCUGACACUGAGGCACGAAGGCCAGGGGGAGCAAACGGG
rnacentral:rRNA from 1 species